rnacentral:rRNA from 1 species
GAUGAACGCUGGCGGCGUGCCUAAUACAUGCCAGUCGAGCGAACAGACGAGGAGCUUGCUCCUCUGACGUUAGCGGCGGACGGGUGAGUAACACGUGGAUAACCUACCUAUAAGACUGGCAUAACUUCGGGAAACCGGAGCUAAUACCGGAUAAUAUAUUGAACCGCAUGGUUCAAUAGUGAAAGACGGUUUUGCUGUCACUUAUAGAUGGAUCCGCGCCGCAUUAGCUAGUUGGUAAGGUAACGGCUUACCAAGGCAACGAUGCGUAGCCGACCUGAGAGGGUGAUCGGCCACACUGGAACUGAGACACGGUCCAGACUCCUACGGGAGGCAGCAGUAGGGAAUCUUCCGCAAUGGGCGAAAGCCUGACGGAGCAACGCCGCGUGAGUGAUGAAGGUCUUCGGAUCGUAAAACUCUGUUAUUAGGGAAGAACAAAUGUGUAAGUAACUAUGCACGUCUUGACGGUACCUAAUCAGAAAGCCACGGCUAACUACGUG